rnacentral:rRNA from 1 species
CUUGGUCAUUUAGAGGAAGUAAAAGUCGUAACAAGGUCUCCGUUGGUGAACCAGCGGAGGGAUCAUUACCGAGUUUACAACUCCCAAACCCAUGUGAACAUUACCUCUAUGUUGCUUCGGCGGAGCCGCCCCGGCGCCCGGAACCCCCUGCGGUCCCGCGGCCCGGAACCAAGGCGCCCGCCGGAGGCCACAAACUCUUCUGUUUUUACAGUUUCUUCUGAGUGUGCCGCAAGGCAGUAUACAAAUGAAUCAAAACUUUCAACAACGGAUCUCUUGGUUCUGGCAUCGAUGAAGAACGCAGCGAAAUGCGAUAAGUAAUGUGAAUUGCAGAAUUCAGUGAAUCAUCGAAUCUUUGAACGCACAUUGCGCCCGCCAGAAUUCUGGCGGGCAUGCCUGUUCGAGCGUCAUUUCAACCCUCGAGCUCCCCUUUCGGGGGGAGCCCGGCGUUGGGGACCCGGCGCUAACAACGCCGGCCCCGAAAUGGAGUGGCGGCCCGUCCGCGGCGACCUCUGCGUAGUAACAACCACUCGCACCGGGACCCGGGCGCGGCCACGCCGUAAAACACCCCACCUUCCGAAUGUUGACCUCGAAUCAGGUAGGAAUACCCGCUUGAACUUAAGCAUAUCAAUAAGCGGAGGA